UUGGUUUUCACCGAAGAAGAGGCCAACACCAACCUCAAGUUACACCUACUACCUUUGUAGAGUGUUUAUAUGUGGUGUAUAUGCCAUAUAUUGUUAGUGGCUACUGCCAAAAUAAGGUAGGAUGUGAUACUAGCUGUAAACCAAUUCAAUCAGUUGCCUCAUUAGAUGAUAUGUCGCAUUAAGCUUCUGUUAGUGUAUCUUCUAUGGUUGAAUGACGCAAAAGCAUGAAAGCCACUUUCAAGAAGAGACUAUCGUUUGGAAAAUCAAGAAUUUCAUGGAUUUGGUGUUUUUGCAAAUGUUUCACACAAGGUAUGAGACGUUGUAUGUUUCCGCAACUUCCCCUCACAUAUUGUGAUUGCUUCUAUGAAGGAGAUGGGUUUCUGUAUAAUACUAUUGACGUUAGUCCUUUUGUUACUGUAAUGGAUGCCAACACUUGGUGGGUGUUUUUUCAAUAAAAUAGAAAUGCUUCGGACACUAUUGUAAAUAAUACAAGUCAAAUGCAGUUAUGCAUAAUGGCGACUACAUUAAAGGCAUGUGGUGCUU